rnacentral:rRNA from 1 species
GUCAGAGGGGAGGUGGAAUUCCGCGUGUAGCAGUGAAAUGCGUAGAUAUGCGGAGGAACACCGAUGGCGAAGGCAGCCUCCUGGGAUAACACUGACGCUCAUGCACGAAAGCGUGGGGAGCAAACAGGA